UACGGAGGGUGCGAGCGUUGUCCGGAAUCAUUGGGCGUAAAGGGCGCGUAGGUGGCGGGACAAGCGUGCGGUGAAAGCUCGGGGCUCAACCCCGAGUCGGCCGUGCGAACUGUCUUGCUUGAGCACUGUAGAGGCAGGCGGAAUUCCGGGUGUAGCGGUGGAAUGCGUAGAGAUCCGGAAGAACACCGGUGGCGAAGGCGGCCUGCUGGGCAGUAACUGACGCUGAGGAGCGAAAGCGUGGGGAGCGAACAGG
rnacentral:rRNA from 1 species